UAGACUGCCCUCAAAUUGCACAUCUUCUCUAUAAAAAUUAUGACAAUAAAGAUCACAAACAAGCCAGACAGUUGGACUCCUUUUCUACUUUAUAGCUUUAACUGACCUUUCCUUGAGAAUAUAUCAUUUCUACAAGCAAAUAUAAGAACAAACAACUGACCCUCCACCUACAGUACUGUGGUCACAAAAACAGGUGAAAUUUGUCAUUUCUGUGCUAAAUGGAAUUAACGGAAAAAUAAUGAAAGGUUUUCCAAACAGUCCCGCCGUCUGCCAUCUGGUUGGACAAAAAGGUAUGAAAGUGGUCCAUCAUCUCCUGAUACGUUCGGCUUGUUGGUGUGGAUGCAAAUGUAAGCAACAUGCAGCAGAUGCCAGCAAAAAAAAGGAAACAACAACUGAGGCUGUCGGGUGGCUCUGUGCCCGUUAUCCA